rnacentral:rRNA from 1 species
AACGAACGCUGGCGGCAGGCCUAACACAUGCAAGUCGAGCGAGGACUUCGGUUCUAGCGGCGGACGGGUGAGUAACGCGUGGGAAUGUGCCCUUCUCUACGGAAUAGCCCUGGGAAACUGGGAGUAAUACCGUAUACGCCCUAUUGGGGAAAGAUUUAUCGGAGAAGGAUCAGCCCGUGUUGGAUUAGGUAGUUGGUGGGGUAAUGGCCUACCAAGCCGACGAUCCAUAGCUGGUUUGAGAGGAUGAUCAGCCACACUGGGACUGAGACACGGCCCAGACUCCUACGGGAGGCAGCAGUGGGGAAUCUUAGACAAUGGGGGCAACCCUGAUCUAGCCAUGCCGCGUGAGUGAUGAAGGCCUUAGGGUUGUAAAGCUCUUUCAGCUGGGAAGAUAAUGACGGUACCAGCAGAAGAAGCCCCGGCUAACUCCGUG